rnacentral:lncRNA from 1 species
GUCCAAAAGUGCUGAUAUGUCACUUAUUGUUACGAUAUGUGAAAUGUCAACUGAUAUAAUCACUUAUUGUUACGAUAUGUGAAAUGUCAACUGAUAUAAUCACUUAUUGUUACGAUAUGUGAAAUGUCAACUGAUAUAAUCACUUGUUGUUACGAUAUGUGAAAUGUCAACUGAUAUAAUCACUUAUUGUUACGAUAUGUGAAAUGUCAACUGAUAUAAUCACUUAUUGUUACGAUAUGUGAAAUGUCAACUGAUAUGAUCACUUAUUGUUACGAUAUGUGAAAUGUCAACUGAUAUAAUCACUUAUUGAAAUAUUAGAAUACUGUAGAUAGUAUGAAGUUCGGUCACCAUUCACAUUUAUUUCCAAUUGCUGAGGAAGAAGGAGAACUGUGUAUGUACACUUAUGCAGUAUUGUUAAUGUAACAGUAUCAAAUGAACCGACAGUGUUAGUUUUCUCCUUUAUCUUGUGUUGAAAAUAUGUAUUACUUUGCCAAAAUGUUUAAUCUUGUUCAUCUGUAAAGAAAUGGGUCCAAAGAUUAGAGGUCUUAUUGCAUGUGUUUUUUUUUCCAAGUAGCCAUAUCUGAAUACUUAUUCAAACCUAAGGGCUCGAUUUCAUCGCUAGGGCUGAAGACCUGUGCUACAGGGCGAUAGCAAUUUAUAAGCAAUGUUCCUGCAUUCGCGGGGAUUGCCUUCAUGGUAAACGCUGCAUAUGUCGGCUCAAUGGGAAAUGACCUUUACAUUUCAAUCAUGCUACAGCGCAGAUCUUCAGCGCUACGGAUUAAAUCGAGGCCUAAGUAACACUAAAACAACUUUUGUUAGAUCCUAAGGGGGAGUGGUUUGGCUCAAUUGACAGAUAUGCAAAACUAGACUUGUCCCAGGGCCUGUAUUCAUAAAGUGUCUUAGAGUACAAGUGCUGAUCUAAGAUCGGUUUUAUCUUUUAUAGCAAAAUGAAUAUGAUUAUAUGGACAGAGGGGACCUGAUCCUAGAUCAGCACCCAUACUCUGAGAAGCUUUGUGGAUAAUGACCAAGAUCUGUUUUUGAUGUCUUGCCAAUUCCUUGGCGUGACAAUGACCAGAGGAGUUGCCAAAGCAGCACAAACUGAUCUGGAACCAGGCUAAUGUAACACUAUAGCACUGACUAAAACCUGAUAAAACGAGUUGAUCAAAUGGACACAUUUUAAUGUGAUGUAUGCAACAGUGGCCCUCAUUGUACCGAACACCUCUUAUUGGUUUUGAUAAACUAAUGGUUCUCUGCUACUUAGCUUUUAAUAAGUUCUUAACAAGUGCCUUAUACUCAUACUUGUUUCUGCAUAUACUGUAUACGACUGAUGUCAAGCUUUACCGGGGAUUAUUCCAACAAUGACCCUGCUCUCUCUGUUCAUUGUGCGAGUAAGAUGUUUAUUGGAGAAAUAGGUAGUUAAGAAACCACUUGUAUGUUUCCACAGGUUGUUUUGGUCAGUGUUUAACAUUUGUGUCCUGUGCUCUCCCAUGUUAAGAAAUCAACUGUACAUACAUGUUUUAUUUUUCUGCCUUAAUUCACAGCAAAUUGUUCAGAGAUGUAUGGCUACUGGCUGCUGAUAUGACAUGGAUUGCAUUAUUAUAAUAAAAGAAUGUGAC